rnacentral:rRNA from 1 species
AGAGUUUGAUCAUGGCUCAGGAUGAACGCUGGCGGUAUGCCUAACACAUGCAAGUCGAACGAUGUCUUCGGACAUAGUGGCGGACGGGUGAGUAACGCGUGAGAAUCUGCCUCUAGGAUGGGGAUAACGGUUGGAAACGACCGCUAACACCCAAUAUGCCGUAAGGUGAAAAAUUUAUUGCCUGGAGAGGAGCUCGCGUCUGAUUAGCUAGUUGGUGGGGUAAGAGCUCACCAAGGCCUCGAUCAGUAGCUGGUCUGAGAGGAUGAGCAGCCACACUGGGACUGAGACACGGCCCAGACUCCUACGGGAGGCAGCAGUGGGGAAUUUUCCGCAAUGGGCGAAAGCCUGACGGAGCAAUACCGCGUGAGGGAGGAAUGCCUUUGGGUUGUAAACCUCUUUUCUCAGGGAAGAAGAUCUGACGGUACCUGAGGAAUAAGUAUCGGCUAACUCCGUGCCAGCAGCCGCGGUAAUACGGAGGAUGCAAGCGUUAUCCGGAAUCAUUGGGCGUAAAGCGUCCGCAGGUGGUUUCCAAAGUCUGCUGUUAAAGACUGGAGCUCAACUCCGGAACGGCGGUGGAAACUUGGAAACUAGAGUUCGGUAGGGGUAGCAGGAAUUCCCAGUGUAGCGGUGAAAUGCGUAGAUAUUGGGAAGAACAUCGGUGGCGAAGGCGUGCUACUGGACCGUAACUGACACUCAGGGACGAAAGCUAGGGGAGCGAAAGGGAUUAGAUACCCCUGUAGUCCUAGCUGUAAACGAUGGAAACUAGGUGUGGCUUGUAUCGACCCGAGCCGUGCCGUANCUAACGCGUUAAGUUUCCCGCCUGGGGAGU